rnacentral:rRNA from 1 species
GAUGAACGCUCGCGGGAGGCCUAACACAUGCAAGCCGAGCGGUAUUUGUUCUUCGGAACAGAGAGAGCGGCGCACGGGUGCGGAACACGUGUGCAACCUGCCUUUAUCUGGGGGAUAGCCUUUCGAAAGGAAGAUUAAUACCCCAUAAUAUAUUGAGUGGCAUCAUUUGAUAUUGAAAACUCCGGUGGAUAGAGAUGGGCACGCGCAAGAUUAGAUAGUUGGUGAGGUAACGGCCCACCAAGUCAAUGAUCUUUAGGGGGCCUGAGAGGGUGAUCCCCCACACUGGUACUGAGACACGGACCAGACUCCUACGGGAGGCAGCAGUGAGGAAUAUUGGACAAUGGGUUAGCGCCUGAUCCAGCCAUCCCGCGUGAAGGACGACGGCCCUAUGGGUUGUAAACUUCUUUUGUAUAGGGAUAAACCUACUCUCGUGAGAGUAGCUGAAGGUACUAUACGAAUAAGCACCGGCUAACUCCGUG